rnacentral:tRNA from 1 species
GAUUCUGUAGUUAAAGGUUUAUAACAUUAGAUUGCAAAUCUAAAGAUGUGUUGUCACUAGGAUUU